UACGUAGGGUGCGAGCGUUAAUCGGAAUUACUGGGCGUAAAGCGUGCGCAGGCGGUUCGACACGUCCGAUGUGAAAGCCCCGGGCUCAACCUGGGAAUGGCAUUGGAAACUGGCGAGCUUGAGUGUGGCAGAGGGGGGUGGAAUUCCGCGUGUAGCAGUGAAAUGCGUAGAGAUGCGGAGGAACCCCGAUGGCGAAGGCAGCCCCCUGGGCUGACACUGACGCUCAGGCACGAAAGCGUGGGGAGCAAACAGG
rnacentral:rRNA from 1 species